rnacentral:rRNA from 1 species
GAUGAACGCUGGCGGCGUGCUUAACACAUGCAAGUCGAACGGGAAACCUUUUAUUGAAGCUUCGGCAGAUUUAGCUGGUUUCUAGUGGCGGACGGGUGAGUAACGCGUGGGUAACCUGCCGUAUACAGGGGGAUAACAACCAGAAAUGGUUGCUAAUACCGCAUAAGCGCACAGGACCGCAUGGUCCGGUUUGAAAAACUCCGGUGGGAUAAGAUGGACCCGCGUUGGAUUAGCUAGUUGGCAGGGUGACGGCCUACCAAGGCGACGGGCCACAGCCGGCAUGAGAGGGUGAGCGGACACAUCGACACUGAGACACGGCCCAGACUCUUACGGGAGGGAGCAGUGGCGAAUCUUGCACUAUGGGGGAAACCCUGAUGCAGCGACGCCGCGUGAAGGAAGAAGUAUCUCGGUAUGUAAACUUCGAUCAGCAGGGACGAUAGUGACGGUACCUGACUAAGAAGCCCCGGCUAACUACGUG